GACGAACGCUGGCGGCGUGCUUAACACAUGCAAGUCGAACGGAAAGGCCCUGCUUUUGUGGGGUGCUCGAGUGGCGAACGGGUGAGUAACACGUGAGUAACCUGCCCUUGACUUUGGGAUAACUUCAGGAAACUGGGGCUAAUACCGGAUAGGAGCUCCUGCUGCAUGGUGGGGGUUGGAAAGUUUCGGCGGUUGGGGAUGGACUCGCGGCUUAUCAGCUUGUUGGUGGGGUAGUGGCUUACCAAGGCUUUGACGGGUAGCCGGCCUGAGAGGGUGACCGGCCACAUUGGGACUGAGAUACGGCCCAGACUCCUACGGGAGGCAGCAGUGGGGAAUAUUGCACAAUGGGCGGAAGCCUGAUGCAGCAACGCCGCGUGCGGGAUGACGGCCUUCGGGUUGUAAACCGCUUUCGCCUGUGACGAAGCGUGAGUGACGGUAAUGGGUAAAGAAGCACCGGCUAACUACGUGCCAGCAGCCGCGGUGAUACGUAGGGUGCGAGCGUUGUCCGGAUUUAUUGGGCGUAAAGGGCUCGUAGGUGGUUGAUCGCGUCGGAAGUGUAAUCUUGGGGCUUAACCCUGAGCGUGCUUUCGAUACGGGUUGACUUGAGGAAGGUAGGGGAGAAUGGAAUUCCUGGUGGAGGCGGUGGAAUGCGCAGAUAUCAGGGAGAACACCAGUGGCGAAGGGCGGUUCUCUGGGCCUUUCCUGACGCUGAGGAGCGAAAGGCGUGGGGAGCGAACAGGCUUAGAUACCCUGGUAGUCCACGCUGUAAACGGUGGGUACUAGGUGUGGGGUCCAUUCCACGGGUUCCGUGCCGUAGCUAACGCUUUAAGUACCCCGCCUGGGGAGUACGGCCGCAAGGCUAAAACUCAAAGGAAUUGACGGGGCCCCGCACAAGCGGCGGAGCAUGCGGAUUAAUUCGAUGCAACGCGUAGAACCUUACCUGGGUUUGACAUGGAUCGGGAGUGCUCAGAGAUGGGUGUGCCUCUUUUGGGGUCGGUUCACAGGUGGUGCAUGGCUGUCGUCAGCUCGUGUCGUGAGAUGUUGGGUUAAGUCCCGCAACGAGCGCAACCCUUGUUCACUGUUGCCAGCACGUUAUGGUGGGGACUCAGUGGAGACCGCCGGGGUCAACUCGGAGGAAGGUGGGGAUGACGUCAAGUCAUCAUGCCCCUUAUGUCCAGGGCUUCACGCAUGCUACAAUGGCUGGUACAGAGAGAGGCGAGCCUGUGAGGGUGAGCGAAUCUCGGAAAGCCGGUCUCAGUUCGGAUUGGGGUCUGCAACUCGACCUCAUGAAGUCGGAGUCGCUAGUAAUCGCAGAUCAGCAACGCUGCGGUGAAUACGUUCCCGGG
rnacentral:rRNA from 1 species